CCGCUUGAUACCGCACCAAUUGAUCACUGGUGGCUCAACGGAGUCAAGCGGACAAGUGAACAUCGUAGCUGCCUAUUGAGCGGGUGUGCUGCAUUCCGAAACGGAGAAAUUCGUUUGGACUGCGGUUGGUUUCGCAUACCCAUAUGCAGCUUUCAG
rnacentral:ncRNA from 1 species